rnacentral:sRNA from 1 species
UGAAAGGGGGCAUAUGAACUUUGCGGAGA